GGUAACGGCCCACCAAGGCGACGAUCGGUAGCCGGACUGAGAGGUUGAACGGCCACAUUGGGACUGAGACACGGCCCAGACUCCUACGGGAGGCAGCAGUGGGGAAUAUUGCGCAAUGGGGGAAACCCUGAUGCAGCGACGCCGCGUGGAGGAAGAAGGUCUUCGGAUUGUAAACUCCUGUUGUUGAGGAAGAUAAUGACGGUACUCAACAAGGAAGUGACGGCUAACUACGUGCCAGCAGCCGCGGUAAAACGUAGGUCACAAGCGUUGUCCGGAAUUACUGGGUGUAAAGGGAGCGCAGGCGGGAAGACAAGUUGGAAGUGAAAUCCAUGGGCUCAACCCAUGAACUGCUUUCAAAACUGUUUUUCUUGAGUAGUGCAGAGGUAGGCGGAAUUCCCGGUGUAGCGGUGGAAUGCGUAGAUAUCGGGAGGAACACCAGUGGCGAAGGCGGCCUACUGGGCACCAACUGACGCUGAGGCUCGAAAGUGUGGGUAGCAAACAGGAUUAGAUACCCUGGUAGUCCACACUGUAAACGAUGAUUACUAGGUGUUGGAGGAUUGACCCCUUCAGUGCC
rnacentral:rRNA from 1 species